rnacentral:rRNA from 1 species
UACGAAGGGGCUAGCGUUGUUCGGAAUCACUGGGCGUAAAGCGCACGCAGGCGGAUUGAUAAGUCAGGGGUGAAAUCCCGGAGCUCAACUUCGGAAUUGCCUUUGAUACUGUCUGUCUUGAGUCCGGGAGAGGUGAGUGGAAUUCCUAGUGUAGAGGUGAAAUUCGUAGAUAUUAGGAAGAACACCAGUGGCGAAGGCGGCUCACUGGCCCGGUACUGACGCUCAUGUGCGAAAGCGUGGGAGCAACAGG